AUCGAAUUAUUUGAUUAUAAUUAUGAACUUCACCUAGAGCUAAUUUUUUUAUUAAUCGCAACCUUGGAAAUCCAGAUAAAAAUUAGGUGUUCCAAAAAGAAUCGAAAUUAAAAAAAAAAACUAAAAUAAAUUGUUUCAUAAAUCAUAUUAGAAAAAACAAAAGAUUUUCUAAAACACAUUAACAAAUUUGAUUUCACAAUUUAGUAGCAAUUACACCAUGCAUGUCAAUUAAGUGUCUU
rnacentral:lncRNA from 1 species